rnacentral:rRNA from 1 species
GACGAACCGUGCGAACGUUGUUCGGAAUCACUGGGCAUAAAGGGCGCGUAGGCGGGCGCACAAGUCAGGGGUGAAAUCCCACGGCUCAACCGUGGAAGUGCCUUUGAUACUGUGUGUCUGGAGGGAGGUAGGGGCGUGCGGAACUUCCGGUGGAGCGGUGAAAUGCGUAGAUAUCGGAAGGAACACCGGUGGCGAAAGCGGCGCGCUGGACCUCUACUGACGCUGAGGCGCGAAAGCCAGGGGGAGC